CUAAUGCCGGAUAACAUUUAAAACCGCAUGGUUCUAAAGUGAAAGAUGGUUUUGCUAUCACUUAUAAAUGGACCCGCGCCGUAUUAGCUAGUUGGUAAGGUAACGGCUUACCAAGGCAACGAUACGUACCCGACCUGAAAGGGUGAUCGGCCACACUGGAACUGAAACACGGUCCAAACUCCUACGGGAGGCAGCAGUAGGGAAUCUUCCGCAAGGGGCAAAAGCCUGACGGACCACCGCCGCGGGAGUGAUGAAGGUCUUCGGAUCGUAAAACUCUGUUAUUAGGGAAAAACAAAUGUGUAAGUAACUAUGCACGUCUUGACGGUACCUAAUCAGAAAGCCACGGCUAACUACGUGCCAGCAGCCGCGGUAAUACGUAGGUGGCAAGCGUUAUCCGGAAUUAUUGGGCGUAAAGGGCGCGUAGGCGGUUUCUUAAGUCUGAUGUGAAAGCCCACGGCUCAACCGGGGAGGGUCAUUGGAAACUGGGGAACUUGAGUGCAGAAGAGGAAAGUGGAAUUCCAUGUGUAGCGGUGAAAUGCGCAGAGAUAUGGAGGAACACCAGUGGCGAAGGCGACUCUCUGGUCUGUAACUGACGCUGAUGUGCGAAAGCGUGGGGAUCAAACAGGAUUAGAUACCCUGGUAGUCCACGCCGUAAACGAUGAGUGCUAAGUGUUAGGGGGUUUCCGCCCCUUAGUGCUGCAGCUAACGCAUUAAGCACUCCGCCUGGGGAGUACGACCGCAGGAUUGAACUCAAGGAAUUGACGGGGACCCGCACAAGCGGUGA
rnacentral:rRNA from 1 species